rnacentral:rRNA from 1 species
GACGAACGCUGGCGGCGUGCUUAACACAUGCAAGUCGAACGGAAAGGCCUUUUCGGAGGUACUCGAGUGGCGAACGGGUGAGUAACACGUGGGUGAUCUGCCCUGCACUCUGGGAUAAGCCUGGGAAACUGGGUCUAAUACCGGAUAGGACCGCACUUUAGUGUGUGUGGUGGAAAGUUUUUUCGGUGUAGGAUGAGCCCGCGGCCUAUCAGCUUGUUGGUGGGGUAAUGGCCUACCAAGGCGGCGACGGGUAGCCGGACUGAGAGGUUGGUCGGCCACAUUGGGACUGAGAUACGGCCCAGACUCCUACGGGAGGCAGCAGUGGGGAAUAUUGCACAAUGGGCGCAAGCCUGAUGCAGCGACGCCGCGUGGGGGAUGACGGCCUUCGGGUUGUAAACUCCUUUCGCCAGGGACGAAGCGUUUUGUGACGGUACCUGGAGAAGAAGCACCGGCUAACUACGAG